UGGGGAAUUUUCCGCAAUGGGCGCAAGCCUGACGGAGCAAUACCGCGUGAGGGAGGACGGCUUUUGGGUUGUAAACCUCUUUUAUCAGGGAAGAAUUUGUGACGGUACCUGAUGAAUCAGCAUCGGCUAACUCCGUGCCAGCAGCCGCGGUAAUACGGAGGAUGCAAGCGUUAUCCGGAAUUAUUGGGCGUAAAGCGUCCGUAGGUGGCUAAUCAAGUCUGUUGUCAAAGCGUGCGGCUCAACCGCAUACGGGCAAUGGAAACUGAUGAGCUAGAGUGCGAUAGGGGUGACAGGAAUUCCCGGUGUAGCGGUGAAAUGCGUAGAUAUCGGGAAGAACACCAGCGGCGAAAGCGUGUCACUGGGUCUGCACUGACACUGAGGGACGAAAGCUAGGGGAGCG
rnacentral:rRNA from 1 species